rnacentral:rRNA from 1 species
CCUACGGGUGGCAGCAGUGGGGGAUAUUGCACAAUGGGCGAAACCCUGAUGCAGCGACGCCGCGUGAGCGAUGGAGGGCUUCGGCUCGUAAAGCUCUAUCCUCAAGGAAGAUGAUGACGGUACUUGACCAAGAAGCCCCGGCUAACUACGUGCCAGCAGCCGCGGUAAUACGUAGGGGGCUAGCGUUAUCCGGAUUUACUGGGCGUAAAGGGUGCGAAGGUGGUUUCUUAAGUCAGAGGGGAAAGGCUAGGGCUCAACCGUAGUAAGCCUUUGAAACUGGAGAGCUUGAGUGCAGGAGAGGAGAGCGGAAUUCCUAGUGUAGCGGUGAAAUGCGUAGAUAUUAGGAGGAACACCAGUGGCGAAGGCGGCCUGCUGGACUGUAACUGACAUUGAAGCACGAAAGCGUGGGGAGCAAACAGGAUUAGAUACCCGUGUAGUC